rnacentral:rRNA from 1 species
CGGGUGCACUGAUCCAGCCGGGCCUUUCCCUCUGUGGAACCCCAUGGCCUUCACUGGCUGUGGCGGGGAAACAGGACUUUUACUUUGAAAAAAUUAGAGUGCUCCAGGCAGGCCUAUGCUCGAAUACAUUAGCAUGGAAUAAUAGAAUAGGACGUGUGGUUCUAUUUUGUUGGUUUCUAGGACCGCCGUAAUGAUUAAUAGGGACAGUCGGGGGCAUCAGUAUUCAAUUGUCAGAGGUGAAAUUCUUGGAUCUAUUGAAGACUAACUACUGCGAAAGCAUUUGCCAAGGAUGUUUUCAUUGAUAAGGAACGAAAGUUAGGGGAUCGAAGACGAUCAGAUACCGUCGUAGUCUUAACUAUAAACUAUGCCGACUAGGGAUCGGACGAUGUUAUUCUUUGACGCGUUCGGCACCUUUCGAGAAAUCAAAGUGCUUGGGCUCCAGGGGGAGUAUGGUCGCAAGGCUGAAACUUAAAGAAAUUGACGGAAGGGCACCACCAGGGGUGGAACCUGCGGCUUAAUUUGACUCAACACGGGGAAACUCACCAGGUCCAGACACAGUGAGGAUUGACAGAUUGAGAGCUCUUUCUUGAUUCUGUGGGUGGUGGUGCAUGGCCGUUCUUAGUUGGUGGAGUGAUUUGCCUGCUUAAUUGCGAUAACGAACGAGACCUUAACCUGCUAAAUAGCCCGUACUGCUUUGGCAGUUCGCCGGCUUCUUAGAGGGACUAUCGG